rnacentral:rRNA from 1 species
AUUGAACGCUGGCGGAAUGCUUUACACAUGCAAGUCGAACGGCAGCAGGGACUUCGGUCUGGUGGCGAGUGGCGAACGGGUGAGUAAUGUAUCGGAACGUGCCCAGUCGUGGGGGAUAACGUAGUGAAAAUUACGCUAAUACCGCAUACGAUCUAUGGAUGAAAGCGGGGGAUCGCAAGACCUCGCGCGAUUGGAGCGGCCGAUAUCAGAUUAGGUAGUUGGUGGGGUAAAGGCCCACCAAGCCAACGAUCUGUAGCUGGUCUGAGAGGACGACCAGCCACACUGGAACUGAGACACGGUCCAGACUCCUACGGGAGGCAGCAGUGGGGAAUUUUGGACAAUGGGCGAAAGCCUGAUCCAGCCAUUCCGCGUGCAGGAUGAAGGCCCUCGGGUUGUAAACUGCUUUUGUACAGAACGAAAAGGUUUCUACUAAUACUAGGAGCUCAUGACGGUACUGUAAGAAUAAGCACCGGCUAACUACGUGCCAGCCGCCGCAGAA